rnacentral:rRNA from 1 species
GACGAACGCUGGCGGCGUGCUUAACACAUGCAAGUCGAACGGAAAGGCCCUGCUUUUGUGGGGUGCUCGAGUGGCGAACGGGUGAGUAACACGUGAGUAACCUGCCCUUGACUUUGGGAUAACUUCAGGAAACUGGGGCUAAUACCGGAUAGGAGCUCCUGCUGCAUGGUGGGGGUUGGAAAGUUUCGUCGGUUGGGGAUGGACUCGCGGCUUAUCAGCUUGUUGGUGGGGUAGUGGCUUACCAAGGCAUUGACGGGUAGCCGGCCUGAGAGGGUGACCGGCCACAUUGGUACUGAGAUACGGCCCAGACUCCUACAGGAGGCAGAAGUGGGGAAAAUUGCACAAUGGGCGGAAGCCUGAUGCAGCAACGCCGCGUUCGGGAUGACGGCCUUCGGGUUGUAAACCGCUUUCGCCUGUGACGAAGCGUGAGUGACGGUAAUAGGUAAAGAAGCACCGGCUAACUACGUG